rnacentral:rRNA from 1 species
UACGGGGGGGGUAAGCGUUGUUCGGAAUUACUGGGCGUAAAGGGCUCGUAGGCGGCCAACUAAGUCAGACGUGAAAUCCCUCAGCUUAACUGGGGAACUGCGUCUGAUACUGGAUGGCUUGGAUUCGGGAGAGGAAUGCGGAAUUCCAGGUGUAGCGGUGAAAUGCGUAGAUAUCUGGAGGAACACCUGUGGUGUAGACGGCUUUCUGGACCAUAGCUGACGCUGAGACACGAAAGCGUGGGUAGCAAACAGG